rnacentral:lncRNA from 1 species
CCUGAUAGUGUAUUCAGGGUUUAUGGCUCAUUUAGUUUGAGAAUGUUAAGAGACUGGAGUUUUAAUCCAAUGAGCUCGGCAUUGGUUACAUUGCAGAGGCAGUGUAGGAUGUCUGCAGGUUUAGAGACUCAUUUCACAAGGCACCAGUAGUGAAUUAUCAAGAAACAUUUAAGAGGAAAAUGAUUUCUCAUUGAAUAUGGUACAACAAGCACUUUUUUCAUAAGGUCUAGAAGAAUGGGUAGUCAAUCUCUUUUGUUAUAGGAGUGUCGGCUGUGCCCCUUGUGAUGGAUGAGGAAGGGUAUCCACCUUUCUGAAGUGUGUGUGUGUGUGUGUGUGUGUGUGUCUGUAGGUAACUGUGUGCAAAUGCAUAUGUAUGUGUGAGUGGGUGUGUGUUAAGUUGAACAUUCAGCCAUGUUGACUACAACAAUAGCAGUUGCUUAUGGUUCAAUCUGAUAUGUCUGUGUGAAUGUGUGUAUAUUUUAUGUUACAUUUUAGAAACAAGUCUU